AGCAGCUCUCCAGUACUUGAGGGAUAAUGUCUUCACGGCCUCUGCUGGAAGCAGGCUCCAGGAAGGAGUCCCACAGGUCCUAGUUUUGAUAAGUGGUGGAAGGUCUUUUGACAGUGUUGAUGCACCAGCCUCUGCUCUCAAAGAGCUGGGUGUCUUGACCUUUGCAAUUGGAACCAGGAGUGCUGAUAGCAAAGAACUGCAGAAGAUAUCCCACGACCCCAGCUAUGCACUAACUGUGUCUGAAUUCACUGACCUUCCCAAUGUCCAACAACAACUUCAGUCCUCCGUGGAGGCUGUGGUUAUCGAGGUCUCCCCAGAAUCACCACCUGUUCCUGUCGAUACUGCCAAAAAGGAUAUCGUUUUCCUCCUGGAUGGUUCUGAUGGCACACGGAAUGGCUUCCCUGCCAUGCUUGAUUUUGUUAAGAGAGUGGUGGAGAAAUUGAAUGUAGGACCUAACAAUGACCGUGUCUCUGUGGUCCAAUACAGCAGAGAUGCAGAGAUCCAUUUCUAUCUGAACACAUACACCACAAGACAGGAUAUUUUGGAUACAGUCAGAGGGCUGAGACAUAGAGGAGGCAGACCCCUCAACACCGGGGCGGCCCUCCAAUACGUCAGGGACAACGCCUUUACAAACUCCUCCGGGAGCAGGCGCCUGCAAGGUGUUCCACAAAUGUUGAUCCUGCUAAAUGGUGGAAGGUCUUUUGACAAUGUAGAUACCCCAGCCUCUGCUCUCAAACAGCAGGGUGUCUAUGUGAUAGGCAUUGGCACAAGGAACUCUGACACUAGGGAGCUGCAGAAGAUAUCAUAUGACCCUAGUUCUGCUCUAUCAGUGUCUGAUUUCACUGACCUCCCCAGUGCCCAGGAACAGCUCUCCUCUGUAAUGAACACAGUGCUAACCAGGGCCACGCCCAUCACACCAACAAAAGCUGGUAAGAAAGUGACAGAUUUUUAUUUUCCAAGGUCAUGGUAGGAUGCAAAUUGAACAGUAUGACAGUGUAUUUAUUGUAGCUGAGGCAAGCCAGCAGCACUCUGAGAAUACAUUUGUUCCAGAUUAUACAGAGUACAUUGUUAAAUUCCAGGUUAGCUUUGGUCAUCUGACUUUCACAUGGAAAACAUUUGACACAUGAACCUGAACAUGUCUGACAUUUUUUAUUCCCUAGUGGAGAGACAGCCAGCAGGAAAAGAUAUUGUGUUCUUGUUGGAUGGAUCUGAUGGUACUAGAACUGGCUUCCCAGCUGUGAAAGACUUUGUCCAAAGAGUUGUAGAGACACUCAGUGUGGAUGACAACAAAGACCGUGUCUCAGUGGUUCAGUACAGCAAAGAGCCAGCUGCCCAAUUCUAUCUGAACACGUACACCACAAAAGGCGACAUCCUUGACACUGUCAGAGGAUUGAGGCACAAAGGUGGAAGACCCCUCAACACUGGAGCAGCUCUCCAGUACUUGAGGGAUAAUGUCUUCACGGCCUCUGCUGGAAGCAGGCUCCAGGAAGGAGUCCCACAGGUCCUAGUUUUGAUAAGUGGUGGAAGGUCUUUUGACAGUGUUGAUGCACCAGCCUCUGCUCUCAAAGAGCUGGGUGUCUUGACCUUUGCAAUUGGAACCAGGAGUGCUGAUAGCAAAGAACUGCAGAAGAUAUCCCACGACCCCAGCUAUGCACUAACUGUGUCUGAAUUCACUGACCUUCCCAAUGUCCAACAACAACUUCAGUCCUCCGUGGAGGCUGUGGUUAUCGAGGUCUCCCCAGAAUCACCACCUGUUCCUGUCGAUACUGCCAAAAAGGAUAUCGUUUUCCUCCUGGAUGGUUCUGAUGGCACACGGAAUGGCUUCCCUGCCAUGCUUGAUUUUGUUAAGAGAGUGGUGGAGAAAUUGAAUGUAGGACCUAACAAUGACCGUGUCUCUGUGGUCCAAUACAGCAGAGAUGCAGAGAUCCAUUUCUAUCUGAACACAUACACCACAAGACAGGAUAUUUUGGAUACAGUCAGAGGGCUGAGACAUAGAGGAGGCAGACCCCUCAACACCGGGGCGGCCCUCCAAUACGUCAGGGACAACGCCUUUACAAACUCCUCCGGGAGCAGGCGCCUGCAAGGUGUUCCACAAAUGUUGAUCCUGCUAAAUGGUGGAAGGUCUUUUGACAAUGUAGAUACCCCAGCCUCUGCUCUCAAACAGCAGGGUGUCUAUGUGAUAGGCAUUGGCACAAGGAACUCUGACACUAGGGAGCUGCAGAAGAUAUCAUAUGACCCUAGUUCUGCUCUAUCAGUGUCUGAUUUCACUGACCUCCCCAGUGCCCAGGAACAGCUCUCCUCUGUAAUGAACACAGUGCUAACCAGGGCCACGCCCAUCACACCAACAAAAGCUGGUAAGAAAGUGACAGAUUUUUAUUUUCCAAGGUCAUGGUAGGAUGCAAAUUGAACAGUAUGACAGUGUAUUUAUUGUAGCUGAGGCAAGCCAGCAGCACUCUGAGAAUACAUUUGUUCCAGAUUAUACAGAGUACAUUGUUAAAUUCCAGGUUAGCUUUGGUCAUCUGACUUUCACAUGGAAAACAUUUGACACAUGAACCUGAACAUGUCUGACAUUUUUUAUUCCCUAGUGGAGAGACAGCCAGCAGGAAAAGAUAUUGUGUUCUUGUUGGAUGGAUCUGAUGGUACUAGAACUGGCUUCCCAGCUGUGAAAGACUUUGUCCAAAGAGUUGUAGAGACACUCAGUGUGGAUGACAACAAAGACCGUGUCUCAGUGGUUCAGUACAGCAAAGAGCCAGCUGCCCAAUUCUAUCUGAACACGUACACCACAAAAGGCGACAUCCUUGACACUGUCAGAGGAUUGAGGCACAAAGGUGGAAGACCCCUCAACACUGGAGCAGCUCUCCAGUACUUGAGGGAUAAUGUCUUCACGGCCUCUGCUGGAAGCAGGCUCCAGGAAGGAGUCCCACAGGUCCUAGUUUUGAUAAGUGGUGGAAGGUCUUUUGACAGUGUUGAUGCACCAGCCUCUGCUCUCAAAGAGCUGGGUGUCUUGACCUUUGCAAUUGGAACCAGGAGUGCUGAUAGCAAAGAACUGCAGAAGAUAUCCCACGACCCCAGCUAUGCACUAACUGUGUCUGAAUUCACUGACCUUCCCAAUGUCCAACAACAACUUCAGUCCUCCGUGGAGGCUGUGGUUAUCGAGGUCUCCCCAGAAUCACCACCUGUUCCUGUCGAUACUGCCAAAAAGGAUAUCGUUUUCCUCCUGGAUGGUUCUGAUGGCACACGGAAUGGCUUCCCUGCCAUGCUUGAUUUUGUUAAGAGAGUGGUGGAGAAAUUGAAUGUAGGACCUAACAAUGACCGUGUCUCUGUGGUCCAAUACAGCAGAGAUGCAGAGAUCCAUUUCUAUCUGAACACAUACACCACAAGACAGGAUAUUUUGGAUACAGUCAGAGGGCUGAGACAUAGAGGAGGCAGACCCCUCAACACCGGGGCGGCCCUCCAAUACGUCAGGGACAACGCCUUUACAAACUCCUCCGGGAGCAGGCGCCUGCAAGGUGUUCCACAAAUGUUGAUCCUGCUAAAUGGUGGAAGGUCUUUUGACAAUGUAGAUACCCCAGCCUCUGCUCUCAAACAGCAGGGUGUCUAUGUGAUAGGCAUUGGCACAAGGAACUCUGACACUAGGGAGCUGCAGAAGAUAUCAUAUGACCCUAGUUCUGCUCUAUCAGUGUCUGAUUUCACUGACCUCCCCAGUGCCCAGGAACAGCUCUCCUCUGUAAUGAACACAGUGCUAACCAGGGCCACGCCCAUCACACCAACAAAAGCUGGUAAGAAAGUGACAGAUUUUUAUUUUCCAAGGUCAUGGUAGGAUGCAAAUUGAACAGUAUGACAGUGUAUUUAUUGUAGCUGAGGCAAGCCAGCAGCACUCUGAGAAUACAUUUGUUCCAGAUUAUACAGAGUACAUUGUUAAAUUCCAGGUUAGCUUUGGUCAUCUGACUUUCACAUGGAAAACAUUUGACACAUGAACCUGAACAUGUCUGACAUUUUUUAUUCCCUAGUGGAGAGACAGCCAGCAGGAAAAGAUAUUGUGUUCUUGUUGGAUGGAUCUGAUGGUACUAGAACUGGCUUCCCAGCUGUGAAAGACUUUGUCCAAAGAGUUGUAGAGACACUCAGUGUGGAUGACAACAAAGACCGUGUCUCAGUGGUUCAGUACAGCAAAGAGCCAGCUGCCCAAUUCUAUCUGAACACGUACACCACAAAAGGCGACAUCCUUGACACUGUCAGAGGAUUGAGGCACAAAGGUGGAAGACCCCUCAACACUGGAGCAGCUCUCCAGUACUUGAGGGAUAAUGUCUUCACGGCCUCUGCUGGAAGCAGGCUCCAGGAAGGAGUCCCACAGGUCCUAGUUUUGAUAAGUGGUGGAAGGUCUUUUGACAGUGUUGAUGCACCAGCCUCUGCUCUCAAAGAGCUGGGUGUCUUGACCUUUGCAAUUGGAACCAGGAGUGCUGAUAGCAAAGAACUGCAGAAGAUAUCCCACGACCCCAGCUAUGCACUAACUGUGUCUGAAUUCACUGACCUUCCCAAUGUCCAACAACAACUUCAGUCCUCCGUGGAGGCUGUGGUUAUCGAGGUCUCCCCAGAAUCACCACCUGUUCCUGUCGAUACUGCCAAAAAGGAUAUCGUUUUCCUCCUGGAUGGUUCUGAUGGCACACGGAAUGGCUUCCCUGCCAUGCUUGAUUUUGUUAAGAGAGUGGUGGAGAAAUUGAAUGUAGGACCUAACAAUGACCGUGUCUCUGUGGUCCAAUACAGCAGAGAUGCAGAGAUCCAUUUCUAUCUGAACACAUACACCACAAGACAGGAUAUUUUGGAUACAGUCAGAGGGCUGAGACAUAGAGGAGGCAGACCCCUCAACACCGGGGCGGCCCUCCAAUACGUCAGGGACAACGCCUUUACAAACUCCUCCGGGAGCAGGCGCCUGCAAGGUGUUCCACAAAUGUUGAUCCUGCUAAAUGGUGGAAGGUCUUUUGACAAUGUAGAUACCCCAGCCUCUGCUCUCAAACAGCAGGGUGUCUAUGUGAUAGGCAUUGGCACAAGGAACUCUGACACUAGGGAGCUGCAGAAGAUAUCAUAUGACCCUAGUUCUGCUCUAUCAGUGUCUGAUUUCACUGACCUCCCCAGUGCCCAGGAACAGCUCUCCUCUGUAAUGAACACAGUGCUAACCAGGGCCACGCCCAUCACACCAACAAAAGCUGGUAAGAAAGUGACAGAUUUUUAUUUUCCAAGGUCAUGGUAGGAUGCAAAUUGAACAGUAUGACAGUGUAUUUAUUGUAGCUGAGGCAAGCCAGCAGCACUCUGAGAAUACAUUUGUUCCAGAUUAUACAGAGUACAUUGUUAAAUUCCAGGUUAGCUUUGGUCAUCUGACUUUCACAUGGAAAACAUUUGACACAUGAACCUGAACAUGUCUGACAUUUUUUAUUCCCUAGUGGAGAGACAGCCAGCAGGAAAAGAUAUUGUGUUCUUGUUGGAUGGAUCUGAUGGUACUAGAACUGGCUUCCCAGCUGUGAAAGACUUUGUCCAAAGAGUUGUAGAGACACUCAGUGUGGAUGACAACAAAGACCGUGUCUCAGUGGUUCAGUACAGCAAAGAGCCAGCUGCCCAAUUCUAUCUGAACACGUACACCACAAAAGGCGACAUCCUUGACACUGUCAGAGGAUUGAGGCACAAAGGUGGAAGACCCCUCAACACUGGAGCAGCUCUCCAGUACUUGAGGGAUAAUGUCUUCACGGCCUCUGCUGGAAGCAGGCUCCAGGAAGGAGUCCCACAGGUCCUAGUUUUGAUAAGUGGUGGAAGGUCUUUUGACAGUGUUGAUGCACCAGCCUCUGCUCUCAAAGAGCUGGGUGUCUUGACCUUUGCAAUUGGAACCAGGAGUGCUGAUAGCAAAGAACUGCAGAAGAUAUCCCACGACCCCAGCUAUGCACUAACUGUGUCUGAAUUCACUGACCUUCCCAAUGUCCAACAACAACUUCAGUCCUCCGUGGAGGCUGUGGUUAUCGAGGUCUCCCCAGAAUCACCACCUGUUCCUGUCGAUACUGCCAAAAAGGAUAUCGUUUUCCUCCUGGAUGGUUCUGAUGGCACACGGAAUGGCUUCCCUGCCAUGCUUGAUUUUGUUAAGAGAGUGGUGGAGAAAUUGAAUGUAGGACCUAACAAUGACCGUGUCUCUGUGGUCCAAUACAGCAGAGAUGCAGAGAUCCAUUUCUAUCUGAACACAUACACCACAAGACAGGAUAUUUUGGAUACAGUCAGAGGGCUGAGACAUAGAGGAGGCAGACCCCUCAACACCGGGGCGGCCCUCCAAUACGUCAGGGACAACGCCUUUACAAACUCCUCCGGGAGCAGGCGCCUGCAAGGUGUUCCACAAAUGUUGAUCCUGCUAAAUGGUGGAAGGUCUUUUGACAAUGUAGAUACCCCAGCCUCUGCUCUCAAACAGCAGGGUGUCUAUGUGAUAGGCAUUGGCACAAGGAACUCUGACACUAGGGAGCUGCAGAAGAUAUCAUAUGACCCUAGUUCUGCUCUAUCAGUGUCUGAUUUCACUGACCUCCCCAGUGCCCAGGAACAGCUCUCCUCUGUAAUGAACACAGUGCUAACCAGGGCCACGCCCAUCACACCAACAAAAGCUGGUAAGAAAGUGACAGAUUUUUAUUUUCCAAGGUCAUGGUAGGAUGCAAAUUGAACAGUAUGACAGUGUAUUUAUUGUAGCUGAGGCAAGCCAGCAGCACUCUGAGAAUACAUUUGUUCCAGAUUAUACAGAGUACAUUGUUAAAUUCCAGGUUAGCUUUGGUCAUCUGACUUUCACAUGGAAAACAUUUGACACAUGAACCUGAACAUGUCUGACAUUUUUUAUUCCCUAGUGGAGAGACAGCCAGCAGGAAAAGAUAUUGUGUUCUUGUUGGAUGGAUCUGAUGGUACUAGAACUGGCUUCCCAGCUGUGAAAGACUUUGUCCAAAGAGUUGUAGAGACACUCAGUGUGGAUGACAACAAAGACCGUGUCUCAGUGGUUCAGUACAGCAAAGAGCCAGCUGCCCAAUUCUAUCUGAACACGUACACCACAAAAGGCGACAUCCUUGACACUGUCAGAGGAUUGAGGCACAAAGGUGGAAGACCCCUCAACACUGGAGCAGCUCUCCAGUACUUGAGGGAUAAUGUCUUCACGGCCUCUGCUGGAAGCAGGCUCCAGGAAGGAGUCCCACAGGUCCUAGUUUUGAUAAGUGGUGGAAGGUCUUUUGACAGUGUUGAUGCACCAGCCUCUGCUCUCAAAGAGCUGGGUGUCUUGACCUUUGCAAUUGGAACCAGGAGUGCUGAUAGCAAAGAACUGCAGAAGAUAUCCCACGACCCCAGCUAUGCACUAACUGUGUCUGAAUUCACUGACCUUCCCAAUGUCCAACAACAACUUCAGUCCUCCGUGGAGGCUGUGGUUAUCGAGGUCUCCCCAGAAUCACCACCUGUUCCUGUCGAUACUGCCAAAAAGGAUAUCGUUUUCCUCCUGGAUGGUUCUGAUGGCACACGGAAUGGCUUCCCUGCCAUGCUUGAUUUUGUUAAGAGAGUGGUGGAGAAAUUGAAUGUAGGACCUAACAAUGACCGUGUCUCUGUGGUCCAAUACAGCAGAGAUGCAGAGAUCCAUUUCUAUCUGAACACAUACACCACAAGACAGGAUAUUUUGGAUACAGUCAGAGGGCUGAGACAUAGAGGAGGCAGACCCCUCAACACCGGGGCGGCCCUCCAAUACGUCAGGGACAACGCCUUUACAAACUCCUCCGGGAGCAGGCGCCUGCAAGGUGUUCCACAAAUGUUGAUCCUGCUAAAUGGUGGAAGGUCUUUUGACAAUGUAGAUACCCCAGCCUCUGCUCUCAAACAGCAGGGUGUCUAUGUGAUAGGCAUUGGCACAAGGAACUCUGACACUAGGGAGCUGCAGAAGAUAUCAUAUGACCCUAGUUCUGCUCUAUCAGUGUCUGAUUUCACUGACCUCCCCAGUGCCCAGGAACAGCUCUCCUCUGUAAUGAACACAGUGCUAA